UGGGAGAAGAUACGUGAGGUAUCUUUCAAACACAGGAUUCUCACCACUAACACUCCCUACAAAAUAAGGCUCUCUGAUGACUGUAGUUCUUAAAGGUACUGACUGCAGACAGAUACGGAGCCAACACCU